CCCCCAGAUGAAUAGAAUUUGUUACAGCAUCAUACAAAAGAAGGAAGAUACCUACAGAUUCGCAGAAUUUAUCCUGAGGAGAAACUAGCACACAGCAAGAUGGAGGAAGGCAGUACAGAAGGAGAUUUUGUCUCUGGACAGACACUCACUGCUAUGGAAGGGUCCACCAUCAGUGUUGAGUUUGAAAUCUUCGUCAUGCCAUUGGAGAAGAUGCCAAAUGGUGGCCAGGUCUUCCCCACAGGUUGAAAAGCAAAACAAGGAAUGUUUCC